UACGGGGGGGGCAAGCGUUGUUCGGAAUUACUGGGCGUAAAGGGCUCGUAGGUGGCCAACUAAGUCGGACGUGAAAUCCCUCAGCUUAACUGGGGAACUGCGUCCGAUACUGGAUGGCUUGAGUUCGGGAGAGGGAUGCGGAAUUCCAGGUGUAGCGGUGAAAUGCGUAGAGAUCCGGAAGAACACCGGUGGCGAAGGCGGCCUGCUGGGCAGUUUGCUGACACUGAGGCGCGACAGCGUGGGGAGCAAACAGG
rnacentral:rRNA from 1 species